AGUGAACGCUGGCGGCGUGGGUGAGACAUGCAAGUCGCACGAGCAAGCUCUGCCGAAAGGUGGAACUCGCUAGUGGCGAAAGGGAGAGUACAAAGCAGGUAACGUGCCCCGGACACCGGGAUAGUCCGCCGAAAGGCGGGGUAAUACCGGAUGAUGCUCCGCGUCGGAUGGCGCGGUGUCAAAGGGCGGGGACCUUCGGGCCCGCCGGUCUGGGAGCGGCCUGCUCCGUAUCAGCUAGUUGGUGAGGUGAUGGCUCACCAAGGCGAUGACGCGUAGCCGGCCUGAGAGGGUGUUCGGCCUCACUGGGACUGAGACACUGCCCAGAGCCCUACGGGGUGCAGCAGUCUCGAAUCAUCCGCAAUGCGCGAAAGCGUGACGGUGUGACGCCGCGUGCGGGAGGAAGCCCUUCGGGGUGUAAACCGCUUUUUGGAGGUAUGAAGCGUCUCGGCGGAUAAUGCCGGCGACGUUGACGUCAACUUCAGAAUAAGCCCCGGCUAACUUCGUGCCAGCAGCCGCGGUAAGACGAAGGGGGCAAGCGUUGCUCGGAAUCACUGGGCUUAAAGAGGACGUAGGCGGUCCGGCCAGUCGGAUGUGAAAUCCCUUGGCUCAACUGAGGAAUGGCAUUCGAUACUGCCGGACUUGAGGUGCUCAGAGGCGAGUGGAACUCUCGGUGGAGCGGUGAAAUGCGUAGAUGUCGAGAGGAACGCCAAUGGUGAAGACAGCUCGCUGGGGGCAUCCUGACGCUGAGGUCCGAAAGCUAGGGGAGCAAACGGGAUUAGAUACCCCGGUAGUCCUAGCCCUAAACGAUGCGCACUAGGUGGAGGAGGCUCUGACGGCCAUCUCCGCCGCAGCGAAAGCGUUAAGUGCGCCGCCUGGGGAGUACGGUCGCAAGGCUAAAACUCAAAGGAAUUGACGGGGGCUCACACAAGCGGUGGAGCAUGUGGCUCAAUUCGAGGCAACGCGAAGAACCUUAUCCUGGGCUUGACAUGCAGGUAGUAGAAGGCCGAAAGGCCGACGAUAGGUUCAGUCCUAAGCCUGCACAGGUGCUGCAUGGCUGUCGUCAGCUCGUGCUGUGAAGUGUCGGGUUAAGUCCCUUAACGAGCGAAACCCUUGCCCUUAGUUGCCAGCGGGUCAUGCCGGGAACUCUAAGGGGACUGCCACGGUGAACGUGGAGGAAGGUGGGGACGACGUCAAGUCCUCAUGGCCUUUAUGCCCAGGGCUGCACACGUGCUACAAUGGUGGGUACAGCGGGCCGCGAAGCCGCGAGGCCAAGCUAAUCCCUAAAAACCCAUCUCAGUCCGGAUUGCAGGCUGCAACUCGCCUGCAUGAAGUUGGAAUCGCUAGUAAUCGCGGAUCAGCUACGCCGCGGUGAAUGUGUUCCUGAGCCUUGUACACACCGCCCGUCAAGCCAUGGAAGCUGGGAGUACCCGAAGUCGCUGACCCAACCCGUGAGGGAGGGAGGCGCCGACGGUAAGCCCGGUGACUGGGACU
rnacentral:rRNA from 1 species